rnacentral:rRNA from 1 species
AUUGAACGCUGGCGGCAGGCCUAACACAUGCAAGUCGAAUGGUAACAGGAAACAGCUUGCUGUUUCGCUGACGAGUGGCGGACGGGUGAGUAAUGUCUGGGAAACUGCCUGAUGGAGGGGGAUAACUACUGGAAACGGUAGCUAAUACCGCAUAACGUCGCAAGACCAAAGAGGGGGACCUUCGGGCCUCUUGCCAUCAGAUGUGCCCAGAUGGGAUUAGCUAGUAGGUGGGGUAACGGCUCACCUAGGCGACGGUCCCUAGCUGGUCUGAGAGGAUGACCAGCCACACUGGAACUGAGACACGGUCCAGACUCCUACGGGAGGCAGCAGUGGGGAAUAUUGCACAAUGGGCGCAAGCCUGAUGCAGCCAUGCCGCGUGUAUGAAGAAGGCCUUCGGGUUGUAAAGUACUUUCAGCGGGGAGGAAGGGAGUAAAGUUAAUACCUUUGCUCAUUGACGUUACCCGCAGAAGAAGCACCGGCUAACUCCGUG